UUAGAAUAAGAUUUUUUUUUUUCAAAGGAGAAUAGUAGGAUUCUUGAGAUAUAGAGCUCAUUACAUCCCCAUUAUGUUUCCAAAACCAACUAAACAUUCCCUCGAAGUACAUCACCAAGGAAGAAACAAAAGCAUAAACCUGAUCGAAUUGACCUGCAAUAAACGCAUUAAGAGUUAUUUUCAGUAUAUACAAGUGCACUUGCAUAUUAACCGGGAUUAGUCUCACAUAUUCUGCAGCUACUUUCUUGAUGAUUGGCUGAACAGCAUGGCUGCCGUAAUCCAUAGUGUGAUUACUUGCUAGCUAUUCCAUACACUUGAGGGUUUACAAAAGUAGCAUUAGACAAGAAAGCUGUGCUUGAUUCAACAGCUGAGAAACCUGCUUCAUUAAUUUUCUUUCCUGUUUCUCUGGUUAGGUGACAGCCAUCAGCAACUGUCUGUUGCAAAGGAUCAAGGAUGUUCUGCAAAAAUCUAAGCAAUGUUCCAUCUUUAGCUGCCACAUGCUCCACAAAUAAGUAAAGCCCACCUGGUGUAAGCACCCUCUUCACCUCUAGACACAGAAGGUUCAAAUUAAAUCUCAGUAGCUUGCAUUGACACGAUUUUAGCAUUGCACUCAACAAAAACACAUAGAUUAGCAUAAAUUUUGAGAGUAAUAGGAAUUAAGUGAUCUUAAGUUGGUUGUAUGGAAAACAUAGUUCUGGCAUGGAGACAUACGAGAUAGGGAAUAAUUUAAUUGACCAAACAAAUUAUAAGCAUUGAACUCUCAAGGGGGAUUUGGAAUUCCCAUUGAACAGAAUACAUUCAUUAUUAAUACAUAAUGGGUUUAUUACAAGGAUAAUGUUGACCAAUCAAAUAUAUCCAUGAGAACUAGUUUCCAUCAUGUCUCUCCAUGUUUUCUUUCUGACGUGCCAAAAAAAUGUCUCUCCAUGUUCUUCCACAGGAAUUAUUAAGCUGAACAAAAUAUUGAAUAUCUUCUCUUAUAGAACUAAACAAAGAAAUCCAGAAUAAACUAACAGAAACAGAAGAAAUUCAAACUGGACUAUUUAUGUUAAAUGUUUUCUAGCUUAAGUGGAUGAAUAUAAAGUUUGCUAAACUUCAGAGAAUACAGAAUCCUCAUAAAAUCAUUUACCUUGCAAUGUCUGAUCAACAUUGGCAACUGAGCACAGUACGAGAGUUCCAAUAACUGCAUCAACUGAAGCAUCACUUAAUGGUAUGGCCUCCCCCACCUGGAUGUAAUGAAUAUCUUGAAAAUCAACGAAAAACAACUUUUUUCUCUUCCAUUUUACAACAAUUCCAUUUGAAAAUAUAAGUUACUAAAGCAAAAAUUGACAAAAUAAGCUUUGAACUCAAUAGCAUUAAAAUUGUGAGUAACUUGGAUUAUUGCUUUGUGAUGGAAUUAAAAGUAACUGUCAUCAAGUAAAGCAUGUCAUUUCCUUCCCAUCUAAAGACAAAUGAAAGAUCAACAUAAAGGGAGGAAGGGAAAUGGGUUGAGGGAAAAGUUUUACCUUUUCACUUCUUUCCAAAUAAUUUCCCCUUAACUUCCAUUUCUGUAGAAAGCAACUUUUCAUCUUUUUGGUUGCAUAAGAUGACACCAUGUGAUGGCAAUCUCUAAGGUUUAUACCAAUUUGGUUUCAAAGCAGUCAUGAAAAGGCCAAUUGAGAAUUGUGAUACUGAUACCCUCGUCUAAAAAGAAACCAAUCUGCAAUUUGGUUUCCGAGGGUGUAAUGGUCAUGUAUGGCAGGCAUUUUAAUGGGUUCAUUAUAGAUAAUGAAAUAGGAGAAACGGACUUACUGCUUGUAUAAAUUUGAAAUUUGUGGGCAGCAGACCAGCAGCCUCUGCAGCUUCCUGCGCAUAUCUUUCCAUCUUUACAUUUGGAUCCAUGCCAAAAACCUCUACAUCAGCAUCAUUGGCAUAGUAUUUGAGGUUAGGACCAGUGCCAAUGCCAAUCUCUAAUAUUCUCUUGGCCUUUCCCCUCAAAUUAGUAAAAAGCUGUGACUUGUAAGCCGCAAUCUCUGCCUCAUAGGAUCUCGUAGCGUCUGAAUUCAAAACCGAUGCAUAAAAUUCCUCGUACCAAUCUGGUCUUGGAGGGUGAACUCUAUUCAGUACAGUCUUAUAAUCAGAAGCAUUAGCCGGAGGCACUGAAACUGAAAGUAAACCUGUUGCUGUAGCUUCAAGAAAAUGCCUCCUUCCACAUGGGCAAAAUCUCGAUGGCUUGGGCUCAUGGUUACUAGUUUUUUCUAAUCCUCCAGGGUGAUUCGAGGGCGUGAUUAUCGAAGUUGAAGUCUUAUGGGAAGAAGUACAGAGAGUGUUGGGGUUUAGAGGAAAAAGAGAUGAAUGGAGUAACAUCCUUCAGAUUGUUGGGUUUGUUGUGAUGGUUUCUCUAUGAAGAUUCAACGCCACGGAAGUGAUUGUAGCAAUAUCUAUAGCUGUCGGAUGGGAACGUUUGGCAUCGCAG
rnacentral:misc_RNA from 1 species